rnacentral:rRNA from 1 species
CCUACGGGGGGCAGCAGUGAGGAAUAUUGGUCAAUGGACGAGAGUCUGAACCAGCCAAGUAGCGUGAAGGAUGACUGCCCUAUGGGUUGUAAACUUCUUUUAUAUGGGAAUAAAAUGUUCCACGUGUGGGAUUUUGUAUGUACCAUAUGAAUAAGGAUCGGCCAACUCCGUGCCAGCAGCCGCGGUAAUACGGAGGAUCCGAGCGUUAUCCGGAUUUAUUGGGUUUAAAGGGAGCGUAGGUGGAUUGUUAAGUCAGUUGUGAAAGUUUGCGGCUCAACCGUAAAAUUGCAGUUGAAACUGGCAGUCUUGAGUACAGUAGAGGUGGGCGGAAUUCGUGGUGUAGCGGUGAAAUGCUUAGAUAUCACGAAGAACUCCGAUUGCGAAGGCAGUUCACUGGACUGCAACUGACACUGAGGCUCGAAAGUGUGGGUAUCAAACAGGAUUAGAUACCCGUGUAGUC